AUCAACUCAGCAGCUUCUGUAUGAGGUCCAUCCAAUUCACCUCCAAGGUCCUGUCCUGGUCUCUGGCGGCGCAGAAACUUUUCUUGGGUCUUCAGGAAUGGACAACCUCACUUCAUCCCCAACAGGUAGGGAAUGGAAUUCCACUUGUCACCAAGUUUGUUCUUUCCUGUCAAGG